GACGCUAGCGGCAACUGCUGUUGAGUACAGCUGGCGCCUUCAUUCACGAAUCGACAUCCUCACUCUCGCAGUCUUGCUCUUUUCCUCGACACCCCCUUCUCGGACAUCGAAGAAAUGGCAGUGGCGUACCCGAGCGAGGAAGACGCGAGCGUGCUGGUUGGCUUCACAGAGUUUUUUACACAGCAGGAGGGCGUGCAUGCGCUUCUUCGCGUCACCGAGCAAGAUGUGCAAACAGUGAGGAGCGCAUGCAGUUCUGUGCUAGCGCAUCUCAGCAACACAAGCCGGCUUAUUCUUGCCUCCAUCCCUCUCAAUCAGGCAGAGCCCGCUCAGCUUGUCAUGGGAAACAAUGGCAGAGGCAUAGCGUAUCAGGUGGGCAGCGUCUAUCCUCACGUGCUACAGCACAGCAGUCCUAUGGGAUACAACAUCACCCUGUCCGAGUCUGCGGGGGCCGCACCACCGCUUCUUCACCACCCAAAGUCAUUUCUAGGGUCGCAGCUCGACGCGAUCGACUUCAUGGCGGCGGAGCUGGAAAGCGCCAAGGACACGCUGCUAUCUUUGAACGCGAGGUACGCAUACUUGUGGACCACGAAUGUGGGCGAGCUGCGCCGGUGCAUUGCACAAGACGAAAGACGUCAGAAGGUGCAGCAGCCGAUGUGUAAGCAUGCUCAGAUGAGGGCCGCUUCGAUUGAGGAGGAGACACAGAAGAGGCUAGCACACAGCCCCACGGAUGAAGUGGGACUGAGAGACGCAGCACUUCAGCAGGGUGACGCGCAGGGCAUAGCUGAGAGGGCGCCGAAGAAGGACCCUCAAGCAGAGGCGCCCUCUGAGUCAUCUGCGCAGGCGCCAACGUACCGCACGCUGCUGGCGCUGGACCCUUCGCAGCUGCCAUCGAUCCAAGUCCAGCGAAGCUUCAUGAAGUUCAUUCAGGCGUGCUUGUCUCUGCUAGAGUGGGCGGACAGCGUCUUAGGGCUGCUCUCUGGCAGGGACGAUGUACCGAAGGCUGGUACAUUCGAGGUGCCGGCGCAGCGGGAGUCGUCGCAGCGCCGAGUCGACACGGCUCGCGAGGCAAGCGAGCAGAGGCCGACAAACCAGGCAACCACAUCAGCUGGUGGGCGCCCCGGCACCAAGGCUGUGCGUGUUCUCCGCUACGAGAUACGCGACGUGAGCCACAUAUACGACAUGUUAUACCAGCAGGCGGAAUGCUUCUAUCUCCCAGAGUACGCCCUGUAUGAUGCACGCAUAAAGCAACGACUCCUGCAUCCGUCCUACUACUACGCCCUGCGCAUUCUUAUCGAGGACGCAACGACUGAGAUGACUCGUCUGGAACACAUCGCUGCUUCUCGGCCGGAUUUGGUGCGCGCCGACGCUGGCCUGUCGCCGUUUGAAGCGUAUCGACGCGGCGCCUUUGUCCCCUACCCUGAGUUCUUAGGAAUGGGCGUGAGCCCAUCUUUGCCUGCUGCGCACGGCAGGGUAGCCAUGGAAAGCGGCGAGCCAGCCAGGAUUGUCUUCCGGCCUGCACUGCCUCAGUUCGCGUUUCUUCGCAACACGCUGCGGGUGCUUCUCAGCGUCUGCAUCAACGAGGACGACCUAACGAGUUUCAAGCGCUAUGAGGAGUUGUACCAGACGCUUGUGGGAAGCGCCAGGGAUGCAGUGGUUGAGCUGCAACACCUCCCAAAGCCUACCCCUCCCCUUCUCGAGCCUGCUGCGCAGAGCAUGUUUGGCAAUCGACUUGCCGUGACGGCUGGCCGCCCGCGCUACGAGCUAGUAUUAGUUUCGGACGAGAGCAGCGCGCAGGAGGCGAGGUCGGGUGGCAAAGUGGCGUGGGUGAUAUCCGCUGAGGACCGCGGCCGAUUGCGCGCCGGAUUUGAGGCGUACUGGGAGUUGCGGGACGGCGUGCACUCCCUAAAGCUGUCUCUCGACAAGGACAUUCGCCGCAAAGAUAAGACUCACCGCACCCGUGUGCUUGACGCGUGCGUUGCACGUGAGAAGGACCUGGUGGCGAUCACGGCCCUCGAGCGCGAGCGGGAGCUCCAAGAGGCGGAGCACCGCUCCCGACGUGAGAACGGUGGCUGGUUGGGGGCGGCACGAGCGUCACUGCGGUCACUGGCCGGGAUCGCUACCUGCAAGGCCGAGGUUCAAAUGGAGGAUCUUGGCAUUCCGACGCCCCUAGAGCGCGACGAUGCUGGUGCUGUCAUGACGACCACCUCGCCCUACCACGCGGAGAAAACGUUGCUGCAGGAGAGCGUGAAUCGACUCUGGAGCGCUGUGGAGGCGCAUGGUGUGCACAUGGAACGCGAGUACCCGGGCCUGUUCUACCGCAGCGAGAGGCAGCGUUGGGCAAGUCGUGUCGGCUCAUUGAUCGAAAAGGCUAACGCAGUCGGCGUGGUCUUCUCUCCUUGAGUGGCGUUCGCGUGCUGACGGAGAGGGUGUUUUGGCUGGCCAUUGCGUCCUGAGGUAUGCCCGCUUUUUGUCUACACCUUUGUUCCCCCUCUCCGGCGUAGCGGCCUCCACGCCAACCUCGCAGACUUCGCUUUUCGCGCGCACUGGUUCUCUCGCUUACACUCACACCCAUUCUUGCUCAUCGUCGUAUGCACAGACGGAGAUGUCAGCCACAAUUCUGAAUGACAACAACAAAUCAACAGCACCAGCACCGCUCCCCGAUAGCCUUAGCGGCUUGUGUUUUGCGACUUUUUCCCUCGCCUCUGGCACAGUUUUUUUUUUGUGUUUGUUCUCUUCCGUGCCAACGUUAGGAGCCGAUGUGUCUAUUUCACACACGCGUACGUACGCACGUGCAGAUGGGCACGCACACAAGCGCAGAGACACACACGCAGGGCACCGGAGAAACAGAGAGCGCACGACAACUACGCACACACACGCACACAAACACACAGAGAGAAGCGCCUAGUCGGUCUUUGUGUUCGUUUUUGUUUCUUUUUUCCUCCCCCUUUUCCCUUCUUCUUGUGCGUCCCUUUCUCCUUCUGCCCACAUGCUCUCUUCUGCCCCUCCUUCUGUCUACCUGGCUCGUGGACGCACACAGCUACAGACGCACGUUUUUGUGCACAAACGUACGCAGACACGCGUCUCACGCGCUCAUGGUAAGUCCUCCCCCUCAUAUGACCUCUGUAGUGUGAUACGUUGUUCCUCUUUUCUUCUCGAUUAGCUUCGACCUACGGUGCUUGAUUGUUGCGUGUGACUGAGGGGAUGCUUCUGCAUAGUUGUGCAUAUCUGCGUAUAUAUAUGUGCCUAUAUGUGUAGAAACCAAUGAAAAGUGAGACAUAGGGAGGCAAAUAACACCCAACAAGGCGGAAGUUCCGGUCAGAGGUGCAUGUGUUGUGUUCUCGGAGAGAUACGGCGUUGGCUGUUGACGAGAUUCAGUAGGAGUAGGGUCAAGGGUGUUGGUAGUAGUGGGCCAGACGUAAAGUGUCGAAGGAUCGCAAUCGUUUCGCUGUCUUCAUGUGAUACACACAUAACGCUUACCCGGUGCACCUCCGCUUUUUCUUUUCUGUGACGGGUACGUGCUUUUGCCCUCACGUCUGUCUUGUCUCGCUUCGUGCCAAGUCUUUCGUGCUUGUUCGUGUUCAUGUGUGUCUGUGAGGACGCGUGCUGCUCUCCCAUGCAGCUCUGUGCCAUGUUAUUCAGGACGAAGAAGAAGGAAAAAAAAAACGUUUUCUCCGUUUUCGCUGUCUCGCUUUCUGUUGGCGGAGUAUCUCUGUUCUACCACACACUUUGUUUACUUGUUGUUUUCUUGCCCGCAACCUCAUUCCCUACCGCAAGAUGGUGCGCGAGUGAGGGCGUCCGUGUGUGGGUUCAUCGACAACGGCAAUCAAAACUAGUGGGGGCUAUGCGGCUACAAACGAAAAGAAAAUCGAGCUGACACGCACAGCGAUUUCAAAACAGGAGAGAGAGAGAGAGCGAGGUAUCGGAGGGGGGAGGGGGGAAGAAGUCGCAGUAAAGGGCACCAGGUCCACUAGAGAUGGUGGUCGCACCUCUUCUUCCUGCUUUCUUUUCCACCACCUAACCAGCGCCACGCUCAAAGCUGGCAUGCCUCCCGGGUGCCGACGCGCAUCUAAAUCGCUUUUCUGAUAGCUCCUUGGGCAUUUCGGCUAACGCAGCUAGCGCAGACGCACUCCGUGGGUGUGUGUAGGUGGGUGGAGGUGGCGGGCGAGGCAUAGCUCUGUUAGGGUACCAGCGGCCGAGAGGGGAGAGAAGGGUCCGUCGGGGGUGUCGCACCCCUUCCACCGUGCGUGGCAUGAGCGCUUUCAUAAGUCGCAUCGCUUCUUCUUUCUCUCGCUUGCUUGUCGGUCUCGCCACCGUUUCAAACACACACACAUACAG
rnacentral:misc_RNA from 1 species